UACAGACUAACACGGCCGCUGCUCUGAAAUUUCCCUUUUGUUUGUUUUAAGCCUGCUGCCUGUUAAUGAACUAAGGUGUGAGGGCUCCCACUAACUACCCUCCAGGCAGCCCUCCAGCAAACUAGGGACGGCUACGCUGGAUAGCAGACAAGACACACAGGAAACACCUCCCAGGCAAUCUGAAAACAGGACUUCUAAUGGAACGCUGGCUGCAACCUUUCAUCUGCAAGUGGUGGCCAAGGAGCUCCAGCCUAAAACAACAUCCACAUGAUUGGGGAGAUAAGGUACAUUGAGUGCCACUUGUAACAGCUCCUAACUUGUGGGUGUUGCCGAUGCUACAGUGCAGACGAUGGGAUACUGCACAAUCCAACAGAGGAUCGGCUAUGUCCUGGCUGGAGGCAACACAGUUUAUACAAUUAGUGAACUCAUUAAACAAGACAAUACCAGAUGGUGAAAGGGAUCUGCUUUUCCAGCCUCCAAUGUUCCUUUAUGAUGGCUAUGCACAGAAAAGGAAUAUUCAGACAUCCGCAAGAGCACAAUUCUUAACUCAUUAAAAAUUUCUGUUCUAUA